UUUAUGAGCAGACCAGUUGUGAUCAACUUGCUGCCUGAUUACAAUGCCUGCGGUCCCAGGAGCACAACACAGAGAGAUGACCAUGUCCAUGCAGCAUUUGAAGACCUCCAAGAAGAAGACUCUACAGUCUCUCUGGAUGGCCUGUGCCAAUGCACUGUCAUGUGCACAGCACAGAAGUCCUUCCUGAUACGUUGAUGGAACCUUUUUGUUCCACUUUGUUCCUGUUAUUUUUUGUCUUGGCACAGGUCAUCACUGAGAAGAGUGUGGUUCUAUCCACAUUGGUGAGAUCCCCCUGAGCCUCCUCCAAGAUGAGCAAUCCCAGCCCUCAGCGUUUUAGCACAGACAGAAAUCAGUUAACGUAAAGUCUUCUGCAGAUGUUCAGUGUGGAGAAUCUGGUAUUUACUUAAUUAUCAUCAUGAAAGUAGACACUUCUACAUUCUAUCUAUUUCUAGAUCAUCUCAAUCAACAUGAGGUGGAUCAGGAGAUGGAGAUCAAGCUUCUUCUUUUUUUUUUUUUCCCUGACCUUUCAUUACCCUCGUGCAUGUAAGAGCCAUUGCUUUAGCAGCAUCUAUAUGAGUAGACCAUACUAAAUGAUCACUAUGUAUAUGGCCACUGGUUGAAAUCUGGGGUUCAGUUUUGAUGUUAUGAUACUAUUCUGAUUUUCUGGCUAUAUAUUUUAUGUUUUAUGGAUUGUAUAGCUUUUUGUUGUUGUUGUUGUUGUUUCCUAGCUUCUCCAUUGAGGCUCACAGUAAACUUCCUAACAGAGAGUACAGACUUGCUUUUCCCUUUACACAACCUUUUAUAACCUUUCAAUUUUUCUGUUUCAUCCCAAAUAGCACAGAGAUCAAUGCAGUUUUCUUUUUAUAUUAAUAAUUUAUCCAUUACAACUUAUCGGACAGAUGCAGGCUCUCAUCCUCUCCUCACAGGAGAGAACCUCCAGUCCCAUCAUCACCUUGUCAGCCCUCUGUUUUACAUUCCAGUAUAUUUUCAUAUCUCUUUUACACUAGCAGGCCUAGAACUAAAGUGUACUCCAGUUAUACUCAUCAGUGCUGACUAGAGUGAAAGGAUCACCGUUCUUUACCUAGUGGUGAUACCAUGCAUGAAUUCCAGUCUUAGCGUGGAAUAACAUAAUGUAUUUCAAUUUCAGCAUAGUUGCUCAUAAUUUCCAACUAAUGUUCCUUUCACAGCUGUUUAGUACUAAUGUAACUUUUCUAUAGCCAUGACUUUUCGCCUGAGAUGCAUUGCUGAAAGAAAAUACAGGGUAAUGAUCAUAGAAUAUCAUUAAAUAUCAUCUAGUUCCAACAGCCUUGCCAUGCGCAGGGUUGCCACCAGGCCUCAUCCAAACUGGCCUUCAGCACUUCCGGGGAUGGGGCAUCCACAGCUUCUCUGGGCAGCAUAUGCCUGAGCCUCACCAUCCGGAUGACAGAUUAUUUCUCUUUUUCUGAAAAACAUGAUUUAUUUUCUCUGUCUAGUGGCCAAAUAAUAUUCUUAGCAUAAAGAGCUCUUCUCAGUCACCCCCCCCCCCCCCCCCCUUUUCUUUUUUCAGCUGGCUCCUCGUAGAACUGUCCCUAUGCCAAUACAGACUGCCUGACAUUCAUGUUUGCUUAAACAGAAGAUUUACCAAUCAGAACAUUUCACAAUGAGAGAAAAAAUACUUGCAUUUAUUUUCUACAGAAAAGAACAGAUGAUCUUAAGUUCUUUUAUAUAAAAAUAUAUAUUCCAUGCUAACAAUAAGGUUUCUUCUUGUGUUUCUCAUUUUCCCUCUUGUGACUUUAAGCUUUUGUACUAACUGGAUGUAAGGGCACAUUACUAAAUAAAAGUAAGUUCACAGGCAGAAUUCAGAUGCAGUUUCUGAUACUGAAUCCCACAAAACUAAGUAGAUAUGGAUAAAGUUAUGUUUUGGUGAUUAAAUACUUAAUCACUCAGAUGUGAACCCAGUUCUUACAAAUCAAGAGAAGCUCCACUGAUACCCUUAGAAUGUUGUGUGUGCUCUUAAAAUAUGUCAUACAGUGUAAUUUGUGCAAUAAUAGCACUGAGGCAGAACAAAGGGAAGAUCAAAUCAAUAACAGAAGUGGUAACUGUCAGGAUUUAAAACGUGAUUUAAGGUGGGCUAGGCUUCAGAGGAAGAAAAGCUGAGUAGAAAACUUAUUCUGUCACCUUAGAAAUAAUGCUCCACAUAAUAAAAUUUUUGGAUGAUUAGUAUUCUUUACCGUGUAGCUUUGUGACAUAUAUAGAGCUAUACUAAUCAAUAUUUUCUGAGGAUAUGACCUGUUCAUUCCACUGUUCAACACCCGAAAACUGCAGACCACAUGCAGUAUAACUGUGCAGGAGUAAAAUGCAUUGACUGGCACAUUUUCCACAUUGACAUAUUCGUAUAGAGUAAAAACUGGUCUUUGCAGGAAGGGUAGAAGUGCUUGGCAUAACUACUGUUUAAGGAGGAAGAAAAGCUGUGAGAUGGAAUGCUGCCCUUGGCAUAAAAGAUUAUGCUCUGUGUAAUAUACUUGCACAGGAUACGUGUAUACUGAGUAUACAAGUUUACCAAGUACAGGAAGGAUAAUGAAUACAGGCUCUAUUUCUAUUAUUACUUAGUAAGUUCUUAUAUACACAAAGCUAGAACCUAGAAAUACAGAUUAAAAUUGUUUUGUAGACACUGUACGUUCAGGACCAGAAAGAUUACACUGUGCAGUGGCCUGAAAGCUCAGACAGAUAUACUUAGUCUAUCGUUAAAAGAAACUGAAAUCUCAAUCCCUAAAAUAUCAAGUCAUUUAUAUUACACAGCAGUGUUAUUCAGCUUUCCAUCAGUUAUCUCAGUGCCACAUGUGCAUAGUAGCAGUUUAAAACAGUUUGUGCCUUGUCCUGCCUGUUCUGCAUUUUCCAACAGAGCAUUUUAUAUUCAGUAUCCUUUGGGUGUCUGUUGCGAUUGCGUAUAACCAUGCUGCAGUCGAGGUUUCUGUGAGCAUUCCCCUGCUGAUGUACACAAGACAAUUGAUGACAACAGUCUUAUUGCACCUCUUGGUGGUGAUAUUACUGAUUGGACAACCUCUUUCUGUUUUUCACCUCCACCUUUUCCCUCAUCAUUUUGCAGCCCUUUUCCCCCUUUCUUGUUUUGAUCCCAGCUGAGCAGUCCCUGAUUACAGAUUAACUCUGGUGAGUCUUCUGGAACAUACGCAAUUUUCUCAACUUCGAAUGUCAUGUGUUCAGAUUUAAAGUUGUGAUGAUGAUUGCACGUUUAGUUUGAAAGUAUUUUGCACCCCCUUUCAUUGCUUAUUCAAGUCCUAUAAAUAAGAAAUUUUGAAAUGCAGCUCUUCUCUUCUGCUGUUGAUUGACUGAGCCCCCUGAGGCAUAACUGUCUCCAGAGGGCUUAAUGCGAUGACAGACUGCUCAGCCUUACGGUUGUAGCAGAUAUGCUAUGAACAUCAGCACUGGAUGCAUAGUUACAGUCCAUAGGUGCAAUAACAUUUACCAUUUGUAUGAAGAAGCAAUGUAAUUUAUUGAAACAAUGCAGGUAACAAGGCAUCGUAAGUAGCCCUUCUCUCCCUUUCAUUUCUCCCCUUUUGUUGAUUGCAGGAUUUCACCUAGCCAUUGGACCAACAGUAGGUCUGACACAUGCUAUGUGUCCUUUUUAGGAAUAUUGUUAAUGAUAGAUCUUAGCUAUUUCUUCACCAUGUUCUCAGUCCCACUUCUGCUUAGUGACUGACAAGUCUGCUGGUUUCAUUGACAGCUGGCAAUGUGGAAAGUCUCAGCAGCUAAGUAAGAUCCUUCCUUUGUUUCUCUGAAGGCUGCAUCCCCAAAGAUAAUAAUGCAAGUAUGAGUGAGGUCCUCUGAUAUUUAUUUCUCUAAAGAAUCUGUACAGAGAGUAAAACAAAUGCAAUAUUGUCCCAAGUGUGAGCUCUUUACAAGGGGUUGUCUGUGACAGUCUUGACAUAGUCUUCAUCAUAGUCACACCUAUUAUGAGUUUUAAUAAGAUAUACUAUUAUUAGAACCACUAUUAAGGAGGACAUUCAACUCUAGAAACUAGAUAAAACUAAGAGUUAAUAUGGAAGAUUGUGAAAGCUGCCAUCAGCUGAAAGUGAAUCCUAAUUGUUGUCAGUUUAACAUAAAUUCAAGCCAGCACUGAACAAGAGAGAGCACAUGAUGAAAUGAGGAAUUAUAAUUGUUGUGCACCAAAGAGUAGCGAUUUCUUGGAGGCACCACUUAAAUAUAGCAAUAUAUUUUGCUGAUGGCUAUGUUUCUUUCUUACUUGAUUAUAAAAAAUCAAUUAUAAAGCUCAGUUUCAUAAAGUGCUUAGAGAUAAGUUAUGCUCUGUCAUUGCAGUGCCAGUCAUUAACAACAUUAACUAUCCUUACCACUCCAAAGCUAUAUUAUUUUACAUCAGUUAUGGACAAGGAGCAAAACAGGGCAUCAGGAUAAACUAACACUGUAGACUCUAAUACUAGUAGAGAAACCUUUAUGAAGACCUUUAGACUGAAGGAUUUAUUAGGCAUCAUUUUAAGGAGGACAUCCUUAAGAAUUCCCACAGAUUGAUGUCCAUCAGUUUGUGGCACGCUUCUGUGAAAUGAAUUUCUACCCUCUUUUCUUAGUCCUUCAUCUCCAUGAAUGAGAAAAAGGAAUAGGAUUUGGAAGAUAACAUCUUGGAGAAUUAUACUUUUUAUAUUCUGACUGAGAUUCCAUAUAGUAAAAAUGCUACUUUUAUAAGAAAGAUUUUAAGAAAGGCAGUACAAAUUUGAUGUAACUUCCUCUGAACUUCUUUUUUUUCAUUUGUUUGUUUGUUUUCGUACAUUCCAUGAGAUUAUAAAUUCUACAGGAUAUUUUCAUACCUGGAGAAGUGUCAUUUAAGAAAUCACAGCAUGUAUAUUUGUUUCAAUGUAAUUUAUCUUAGAACAUAUCUGAAACAUAAACUUUGUGUAUUUGUUGAUCAUUAAUGAUAAUUGUUAAUCUUAAACCAUCUGUCAUUUUAUAGAAGUGGAAAACAAUUCUCUGCAGUGGUAAAACUCUGGAUAUAGAAAAAGAAUAAUAAUUUUUCAAAAUCACUAGGAACCUCCAUGAAACUUUACUCAGUGGACCAAGUGCUAUUCUCACUGAUACCUUUAUUAACACUAAACUGUUUCACUAGAAAACACUUUAUUCUUUCCACCACAGUAUAAGGAAAGGCUUACAUUGACCAAAAGCACUACAUCCAGUUUAAAGUAUUACAUAGCCACAUUUGCAGCUCAGUAUUUAUAUUAAUAAAACAAGAGUAUGGAUUAUCUCAAAAUAGAACAAAUUCCUUUUACUUUUAUGAACUAAUAUCAAUAAGUGCAGUACUGGAGGAAUUGAUUCCUUCCACAAUUGACUGCAAUUUCAGUCUCUGCCAUGGCCUAUUUCACCUUUAUUGUACAAUAUAAUCUGACCCCAGCUGAAUUUCUUCAUCACUAUUGGAUUUACUGACUCCAUUCUUUUUGUCAGGGUUUGCCAUGUGUCCAUUCUGUCUUGAAGAGUUUUUUGUUGUGGUUUACUUAUUAUACUUUUUUCAUUCUCUGCUUUGUCUUACCUGUGUGUGUUUUUGUCACAAAUUUCCCCCUUGGCACAUGUUCCUCUCCUCUGUCAAGCUCUGCCUGACAGUCUUCCAACUACAUGUUAUGCUAUGCAUCCUGGCAAGCCAUAAGAGCCACUAUUCCAUUUAGAAGUGCUGGAGAAUGCUUUUCUGCUGUUCAAAUUGCUUAUUCACAACCCAGGUUUUUACCCACAUCAUACAGUUUAAUAUCCAGCUUUCUUGUGAAAAUUAUGCAGAUAAAAAUUGUGGUGAAAAGGAGAAGUAAGCAUCUCAAAAGAAUACAGUAUGACUCGAACUUUUAAAAACCCUACCAAUUCAUGAUAGAUAAAAUAUUAGCUUUUUUUUUUUUUUUUUUUUUUUUUUUUUUUUUUUGGUGUAGCAUAUAAGAAAUUACCAACUACUUAUUUUGAAACUAGUCCUAAAAUCAUGAAUGUAACUUAACAGCUGAACAUUUUCACAUUUUGCAAAGUCUGAGUAUUUGCAUAAUAUAUGCUAAGACUUCAUAUAAAAUAAUAUUUUAAGCUAAGCCUAAUUUGGAGAUACUAAAAGCAACUUCAGUUGCGUACAAUACACACAAUGAAAAACUGAUUGUAUUACCCAUAGUGCAUGCACAAUAAAUACGUUCCAGAUCUUGUAAACAGCAUCAGUUUUCACCUAUUUACUCCUGCUUCUUUUCUAUGUCCUUCACUUGGUACUCUGUUCAAAAUUUUGGUUUUGUUUCCAUGAACCCUUUAAUGCUAUUAACAUGGAGUGGGUCAGCCUGCUAUCUACCAGCUGUCAUUUCAGUUUACAGACUAAAUACAUGCUUAUGAUUUUACACAAGAUUUACAUCCCAGGCAUUUGAUCUUGACCUCUCCUGAGUCCUGGCUCAUGGCAACUAUACAAACUUUGUAUCACACGUAGAACUACGCUUGGGUUUGGUAUUUCUUGAACUAUCAUCUGGCAUUGCAGAACUCUGUGGAGGCUUAAAUUGACUUUAAAAUGUCAACACGAUAAUUAAUGAUUAUACUCUUCAAAUUUAUUUAUCUAUAUAAUAACAUAAAUAAUUAAAUGUACCUCUUUGCAGUGUCUGAUGCAUGGACUCAGAUGUGAACGAUCCAAAUCCUUUAUUGCAAGUUCUCACAUCACUUAUAUACCUUCACAAGUUUUCUUUUCUUUAGUUUUCCUAUCCGCCCUUACAACUUUCCCAUCCACCUUUACAUGUAAACAGAGUAUUCUACAAACACUCCUUAACUGUUCAUGCAGGCGCUUUUCCAAUCAGAGCCAUGAGCCAUUACUUCUUCUAAAGGUGUCCCUGGUUCUCAUGCUGUUUAUCUUCCUUCACAGUUGCUGUUCUGAGCAAUUCUUCUUGUAUUCCCACACCUCUUUAUUUAUCAAUUAAACCACAGAAUCACAGAACCACAGUAUCACAGGGGUUGGAAGGGACCACUAGAGGUAGUCUCAUCCAACCCUUCUGCCAAAGCGGGCUCCCUAGGCCAGUUUGCACAGGUAGGCAUCCAGACAGGUCUUGAAUAUGUCUAGAGAAGGAGAUUCCACAACCCCCCUGGGCAGCCUGUUCCAGAGCUCUAUCACCAUUACUGUGAAGAUAUGGUUAUGAUUAUUGGUAUCCUUGUAAUAACUGAGACUCCCUUGUGUUGGGAAGCUCCAUAACUCUUACUAAAAGUAUAUAAUAUAAGGGGAUAUCAUCCAGAUUUUUUCCAUUAAAAUCUUUUAGAAGGCUGUUUCAGUUAAAUAGAGCUGCAGUACAUCACAUUGGGAAAAAGACUAGAAUUCUGUGUCUAUUAUUUCCUCUUUUUCUUCUAGUGGCCUAUGGACAAAAAAUAAUAAUAAUAAAAAAAUUGAUUCUUUUGAAUGUCAAGCACACCUAGAUUAACUGUUCUAAAAUGCUAAUUUUUAAAUAGUAGUAUGGUUUCAUGACAAAGAAUUUUUUACACCCUUGCUUUUCCUUCAGCAUAUUUAACCAGUCUGCAGUUCAAGUUCUCAGCCAAGCAAAUAAAUCUACAUUGAAAAAAAAAAAAAAAAAAAAAAAAAAAGCUGCUUUAGUGAAAAUUAAUUGGGGAAAAUUUAUUUCCAUAUUUCUGGAAUAGACUUAUGAUGAAUCACUAUCCAUUCCGGGUCACUUAUAGAACCAAUUCAGUUUAUUAAUGACCUUAGUUAUUAUUGCUAUUGAAGAUUUUAAGGUUACUAGUCAACUUGUUUCAGUACCUCGUAGUUCUGUUACACUUGAGCAUUUGUAUUUUAAUAUAUAAAGGGAAGCAAAAACAUCAUGUCACUUAUAGUAUCUUCUCAGUGGUGUUUUGCUGAACUUGCUUCCCAAUGUUUUGAUACAAUGGUCCAUUAAUGCAGCCUCAUAGGAUUAACAUGGGAAAAAUUGAAGGAAGUAAUCAAGUAUAAAUACUUCUACUUCUGCCCCUGCCAUGUAAUCUGUGAUUCAUGCAGCCCCUACUAGCAGUUAAUGAAUGUAUCUUUGUUGUUGGUGGUGGUUUUUUUCCCCAUGACCAGAAAGUGCUGCCUUGGGCUCCUAUGGUACCACAGCAGAUUCUGCAGUCUCUAGAUGGAAUAGUGAACGUUCAGACUGCACAGAAAUCAGGCCUCUUUUAAGUCUUAUGCUGGAUAACUAAAAUCUACAGCAUCCAAAAAUGAUAACUGCUUCUGAAAAGUUUGCCUUCAAUUGCCCUCAUAUAUGAAAAUUACUACUGCGAGUACUGUGAAACCUUGGUCAAGUUUAUAAGAGUGUUUUGAUCACAUAUGCAGAACAGUAAAAUACCUAUAAUCAACAUUAUAGUUCUAAGAACAGCUCUCUCUCUCUCUCUCUCUCUCUCUCUCUCUUUUUUUCCUUUCAUUCUAAUAGUCUUUAUUUCCUCAGAUAUUUCCCAGAAUUCGUUGUUUAUUUAAAAGGUAUUUUUCUUCCAGUCCUUCACCUUUACUCUUAGGGAGUUUAUAAUAUUAAUAUAGUUUCUCUCUCAUGUUUUUCUCACCUGUUAUUUUACUAGCAACAAAUUUUCUUCAGGAAUGAAGCUUUAAUGUCUUUUAACGAUGUAUCAUUUACAGAAGAGUGCUCCGGUUGUAGCAUAUCCACUACUGCUUUAAUUAGAGCUGCUCUUCUGAGUUCCUUUCAUCUUUUAAAAUAUAUCUCACCAUUCUCUCUUUCUCCCUUGCAUUUCCACUUUCUGGUUUCUAAUUUUCAUGGGAGUUGAAGGGCUUGCCCACUUUUAAUGUUAUUUGGCAUCAGAGAGCUUGUCUUCUAGAUCACAGAAAACAAGUGCUGGUAAUAAAUGCACAUGCACACUAAGCUCAGCUUUUUCCCACAGAACAAAAGAAUAAAGAAAUGCAAUAGGAAUAAAGGAAGGGUUCUUAAUAUUAAAACCUGAGAGAGAGAUUUUGAAUUAAUUAAAUAAUUUACUUGGUAGUCUACUCAUAUCUACACUUACCUAAACUUUAUCAUGUUUCUUUGACUCUAGUGCAUAGACACGUACUAUAGCAUUAAUGAGUUUCUUCACAUUUUUCAGUGUGUUUUGAAGAUAGUGUUUAUGCUUAUCUCCCAAGUGUCUGUUGAUAAGGAUCUUCAUUUACUUAAGAACAUCCAGAGUCACACUUUUCCAUUACUUUUGUGGUCAGGAUGAAGCAUCCUGAUAAAGAGCCAAGUAGAGGGUGACAAUCACCUCCAUCUCCCUGCUGGCCACUCUUUUAAUGCAUCCCAGAACACAGUUGGCCUUCCGGGCUGCAAGUGCUCACUGCUAGCUCAUGUCCAGCUUCUUGUCAACCAGGAUCCCCAAGUCCUUCUCCGCAGGGCUGCUCUCAAGGAGAUCUUUCCCCAGUUUGUAUAAAUAAAUACCUGAGAUUGCCCUGACCCAAGUGCAGCAUUAUGCAUUUGGCCCUAUUGAACCACAUUAGGUUUUCAUGUGCCCACUUCUCCAGCCUGUCCAGGUCCCUCUGGAUGGCUUCCUUUACUUCCAGUGUAUUGACUGCACCACUCAGCUUGCUGUCAUCUGCAAUCUUGCUGAGGGUGCACUCGAUGCCAUCAUCUAUGUCAUUGAUGAAGAUGUUGAAGAGCAUCUUCAUAGACGAGGUUCCAGUCAACAUUCCAGUUCUUCUGAAUUCUUGGCUAUCUGGGAGAAAAACUUUAUCACACACAUUUCAAAAAUUGGUAGCAUUUCUUAAGGUAUUGAUUUCACUUUGCAAGUGGGAAGUGGCUGACUAAGGCAGGUUUGAGCAGUGGAAAGCAUAACAAUUGUAAUUGCUCAUACAACAUCAUUAAUCAGAAGAUCACACUCAGUUAAAAACAUUUUACUCUAAACACUUUUUUUUUUUUUUUCAGCAGAAUAGGAAAGAUUUAGCAUCCACAGAACUGAAGGUUUUUACUUAUUUGUGGAUUUUUGACAUCAUUAAUCUCCAUUUCUCUCUCUCUCUCUAUUUUUUUUUUUAAACAUUGGUAUAACUCUAAAUUACUGGAUUAUACGUUGCAAAUCUGGAGAGCUGUGUGUGGUCUUUUGUCUGUGACUUCAAAAUGUUCUGUUAAAGUUGUGAAUUCAUGAUUUGAACUUUUUACAAUCAUAGAGUAGGAGACUGUUUAGGAAUAAACUGUUCCUGGGGAAAAAGAAGAAUGAGAGUAGACCGUGUUUCACACAAAGGGAAGUGAAUCAGGGAUGUGGUGUUAUACUUGGAAUUAUUCAGUCAUUAAAAAGAGAACACAGCAAAAUCAUGCAUCUCAGAAAUUUGAAGGGUACUUGGAAGGAAAAUGAAAGCCUAAAAAUUGUGGCAGGCACAGUUUUUCCUGGUCCUUACAAAAAGGAAAUUAUAUUCCAGCACUCUUUCUCACUUUUUAUUCUCUGGAAUUUCAGAGUGAAUUCUGCAUCAUUCCUGUAUUUCACAGCAUUCAUUUCAUGAUGUUUAAGAUUACAGUUAACCAAUCUUUGGUCAGAUUUUUUUUUUAAUUGUUAAAACAUUUUAUAAAACAAUUUUAUCAGUUUGGAUAACAGUUUCACUGAUUUAACAACACAGCAGUUUGUUUCUGAUAAGACACAAAUUGUUGCUUUCUAUAUGCACUCUGUUUAUAGGUAGAGAGACAUCUGAAUUAAGGUGGACUCUGUCCCUAAAUUUCAGUUUUAUUUAGAAGAUCAUCAUGCUAUUUAUGACAUGUGAAUUGGGUACAAGCGAUCUUCUUCUUGAGCUUCGUUUUGAAUUAUUGCUGGUAGUGACUUGCAGAGAUUUUAAAAAUCAAUCUAUAAAAUAUUGGAUUUUAUAAAAUUGUCUGAUCAGUGCUCUAAAUUCUCAGUCGUAUUUGGAAUAAUUCAUUAAAAAAAGAAAAAAUACAUAUAUAUAUUUUGACAUGAUUAAAUUAAAAUUAAUACUUGAAAUCCAUAUUGUUUUUGAAGUGUUAACGAGUAGGUUGGAGUUGAGUAGGAAUUUUCUAAUUUUACGUAAAGGUAUUGCAUAUACUUUCUAAAAUAUUUGAAGACUAGGAAAUUCUUUUCAGCUAAAGCUGAUUUAUAUCAGUCAAGACACAGAACAGCUAUUUAGUGCAUGUGCUAUAUUGUAGAUUAUUAUUGGUCACAAAAUUUCAUUGACAUUAGUCUAGAUCCAAGUUGCAAAUGAAGAAAACAUACAUCCCUUCUGUCUUUCAUAUGUGUUCAGCCAAAGGGCAGGAGCAAAUUAAAAUAAAUGACAUUAAUGUAACCUGCACAAAUAAGAACAAAUGAUUAUUCCAAUUGUGAUAUAGAUAUGUAUUAGUAAACCAGACUUUGAUUUGUAUGUGUAUUUCUUUAAAAGUGCUGGAUGACUGGAUGAGUGCAGAUGGCUCUGCAUGAAAUGUCCAGUGUUCAUUAGCCAUAUGUGAUGACAACCAUUCAAUGACACACACUUUUAUGGCAGCAGACUAUUAAUUGCCAAAUUCAUUUAUGAUAUAUGUAUUUUUUUACUAAAUUAACACUUUUAAUUUUUAAUGAUUCAGGAAUACUGCCUCAAUGAACACCUCUGUAGAGGUGUUCCUACCACCAAUACUACCUGGUUUGACAUGUUUGCUGGAGAUUGCCACAUGAUCAGCAUAAAUCAGACAUACACAGACAAUGUAUUCCAGUGUAGUGAAUCCAAGAAAAAGUAUGCAUUUCAAAUACCCAUUUUACUACUUGAAAUAUAGAGAUUGGAGACAGCUGUACAUCUUUCUCUUUUUUUAGUGCAGUAAAAGUAUCAAAGAAGAAAUGUCAUAAUUUGGAAAGCAAUGUUCAAUAUUCUGGUGCAUAAAUUAAUGUGAUUCACUCCUUAUAAAGUGAUAUUUUAAUAAACUGUAGAUGAUUUACAUAGAUCUUAGAUUCUUUGAUGACAUAGAUAAAUGUGAUGAAGAAGAAGAUGGAUGUUUCGUUUUCAUAGAGAAUCUCAACAAAAACAAUUGGCUGUUAGGCCAUCCACAUCUUAGGACGAGAUCAUGGUUUAGAGGUCUUUUCUAAGCUUUUGAUUUUCAGUGAAUAUAGAAAUAUAUGGAAAACUAUGUGGAUUCUACUUUAUAUUCUCAUGCAUCCCCUAAAACAGUUUACCUUGCAUCAUUCAGUGCAAUGCUUUUCUGUUUUCCCUUUUAACUCCAAAUUAAAUAUUAUCAGAAUUACAAAUCAAAGGGAUCUAAGAGGAAACUGAUCUAGUGAUUGUUUUGAAUAGAAUAAUUUUUAUAUAGAGAUGAGAAAAACAAGUACUGCACAGCUGAGUAUUCACUCAUUAGAAAAUUCACUCAGUAGAAAACUGUCAGUUUUGCUGGGAACUGGAUCUCAUCCAUUAUGUGACUGUAUUUCAGCUAAGCUCAUUAGAGCAGGCAGUGAUGACUCUGCAAUCUGCACUUUUCAUAAUCACAGUCAAGAAUAUCUGGAAACUAAGAAAAAUUCCAGGAACUCAUACAGUGAUAUUGGAAUAGAUCACUCUCUCUAUAGAAGUGUAGGUCCUGCAGUAGUUUCAAAAACUGGAGUGAUUUUGCAAAUCUAACGUGCAGAAAUUUAUAUUUCAUUUAUUAAAAAAAAAAAAAGAUUUAUUUAAUAAAAGAUAAUAUCUACUUCGAAUAAAAGAAAAAGCAUGUGUUAGAAAGUUUAUCAUGAAAUGGCUGAAUAAUAGUUGCAGAUUCAUUGAAUUCUUUCUUAUCUUUUUUUCCCAAACCACUUUUUCUUAUUUUGUGCCUACUUUCUGUAUAUUAUCAGUCAUGUUCCUACUCAAGACAUCAUUAAUCUACUGGUAAAACAAUGCCUAUGAGAAAGUUUGUUCCUGGUCAGAAGGUUAAUCUAAGGACUAGGGUCUGCAUUUUCUGUUUCAGCAAACCUUCCGAAGAACAUGGUCCGAUCCCCUAUUUGUCUGAUUUCUAUGUAAUGCCAUAGAUAAUAGAACAGUUUGCAGAAUUAUUGAGUCAUACUUUUCGUCUAUUUUGAAGGCCAUUUGCCUGAAGGUCAUUGUUUGCUUGCAGGGUUUUUAAUCUUCUUGCUGAGAAGGAAAUUGAACCUGCUGCUACCGAAGUUGAAAAUUUAAGCCCCUGGCUUGUGCUAUACACUACUACGGCCUUGGCUAAACUACAGCAUAGUCCUUGUUCUGAGCGCUUCUCUAGGAUGAAGACCUGCAAGGGCAAAAUAAAGGGUCAUUCAUCUACACAUCCUGAGAGACUGGGGUCUUCAGCUCAGAGGUGUUUAACUGCCAAGGCUGAAACUUUUGAAAUCAGGCUGGAUGGGUCUCCGAGCAAUGUAGAUGUUCCUGUUCGUUACCGGGGAAUUGAACCAAAUGACCAUGAAAGCUCCCUUCCAAAUAAGAAGAUUUUAUGCUUCUGUGAUUCUGUGAAGUGAAACAUGGACUUUGUUAGAAGAAAUCUGAUUCAGAAGAGAAGAAGAAAUACAUACUCCAGAGGACUUUGCAUUCACAGAAGAGAUAAAGCCCCUGGCAAGGUCAUGAGACUGGACUCUCCUCCCUGCUGCUUGACCCGACCUCACUUCUUGCCUCAGUAUUAGAGUCAAACAAGAUCAUGAUAAUGGCUCUUUGGGAUGUUAUCCAAAGUCUGUGUCUGGAAGCAGAAAAUAAGCUGUCUGUAUGCCACGAAGACCCUCAGUGAGAGUUUGAGGAGGAGGAUGUCCCUGGGGGACUGCCACAGCAGCUGAGAACUUUGUCAUGUUCCAGCGACACUUUAGCAGUGCCCUGCUUCUCCUGGGAUCGAUACGGAAACCUCUGUGACAGCUUUACACCGAGAUUCUCCACUGCCUUCCCUCAAGAUAGCUGAUGCCUGCUGCCUCAAGAUGAAUAUCACUGUUUCUUGCUAUUCAAGUGCUUCCAAUGCACUUUGAUAAUGCACUCUGCUUCCAAUAUCUUUGAUAAUAAACAAUAUCUUUUAGGAGUGCUGCUGAAGCAAUGAAUCAAAGUAAAAUUUAAUGCUCUUGGGUGCAUUUGGCAUUCAGAUGUCACAACAAUAUAGCUGUGAAAGUAUUAGAAUAAAACAAAAUAUGUGGACAGAAAAAUUUCCUUCUUUCAGUGGAUGAAUUUGUACAAGAAUUAUGUCUAGUCACUUUGUUUUUAAUAGGUUUUAAAGUUUAAAUGUUCAGAUUUUACAUUUUUGGAAAAAAAAAUUACACUGCUAACAUAACUUAUAAAACACUAUUGCUUAGAGAAAACCAUUUCAGUUUCAGGUAGACUUUAUUAUUCAAUCCACAGUGAAGAAACCAUGUUUUGUAUGUUUUACUAAAUUUCAUUGCAGAUCCUUGACAGAAAUUCUGCUGUUAUCUUGAUACCAGUAAUAUUUUAGGGAGUUGUUUUUUUUUUUUUCCAAACAUGAGUAGAAAUGAGACCUUUUAUUGGCUAAGUAUCAGUUAUAUUAUAGUAUGUUAUGUGUGUAACAGUGUGAUUAUUAUGGCUAUUAGAAGAAAAUUUUCAAGAAAAACUGAAAAAUUAGAAGAACAUUUUCAGCUUGGAAACUGCAGAAUAAGUUACAAAAUGAACUAUUUUAUUUGUUGGUAUUUUACAAUAAUAAAUGAAAUACAAAUAUUCUAAGUUUUUUUAUAAUGAAAAUAAGGUAUUUAAUUUUAUUUUAGACUCUACCAUGUAGAAUAGCAAAUGUAAUAUAUUUUAACUAUGUUCUCAUUCUCUUCGAAGGCCAAGAAUUCAAAAUUAAAUUAAGAAGAAAGCACCAAGAACUCUUCUUUUAAAAAACUAAAGGCUUGGAAGGGGUGACCCAGAAAGACCCUUUCUUUUAAUAAGGAAAUAGGAUAUUGUCACAGAGUUAUCUAGAUCAAUCUGUAUCCGUGAUGGGGCAGCAGGCCUGCAGGCCCACUGGCCCAAAAAAGGGGAAGGGGAAAAGAGGGAGAGCAGGGAGAUGGGAGGUGAGCUUAAAGACAGAACAGCAGCAGUGAUCUGAGGAGGAAAGUUAAUUUUUACUAAACAUGAUAUUUCAAUACAAGAUAACACAAUAGAAUACAAUAUAAUUGGAAUUGAGCCUAAAAAGUCAAAUAAAUGAGAUAGGGAGCGUCCGAAACCAAAAGCCUUACUUUCAAUUGAAGGCAAAACAGCUGGGGAGCACAUCCACACUGCCAGGCAAUGAGAGAGAGAGUCCCGUCACUUGUGAGUCUUAUCUUCCCAUCUGAAUGCAAAAUCCUUUGGGGUAUGUAGUUCUUCUUCUCUUCUGAGAACCAGGUAUCCGGAAGUCAGUCCAUGGAACUGGAGUAUUAGCUCUUUAAUUCCAGGAGCUUUACAUGAUGUUAUGACGUGAAAUACUGAUAAAAAAGUCAUAAAACCAUGACAGAUACAAGAGCCUGGACCAGAUCCUAAGUAAAGGAUUGCUUAAAAAAAUGAGAGAUUAAAUGUAUGUUUUGAUCACAAUAAAAUGCUUCAAUAUUUUCUAAUUUAUUUUCAAAUUUAAACACACACAUAGAAAUCUUUUUUUUUUUUUCUGUGGAAUAUUUGGUAACCUAUGGUCCCAAGUAGCUUUAAAAACAAUGUUUAAAGAUGAGAAUUACUUAUGAUGCAGAAACUCAAACAUACAUAUGCAAAUAUUUACUAAAUAUACAAAUUUACUGUAUAUUUCACUGAACCAUAGGAUAAUAAAAUGGUUUGAGUUGGAAGAGACCUUUAAGAUCAUCUAGUUCCAACCCCCUGCUACAAGCAGGGCCACCUUCCACUCAACCAGACUGCUCAAAGCCCCCUCCAGUCCGGCCUUGAAUGUCGCCAGGGAGGGGGCAUCUACAACCUCACUGGUCAACCCAUUCCAAUGUCUCACCACCCUCACAGUAAAUAAUUUCUUCCUGAUAUCAAGUAUAAAUCAACCCUCUUCCAGUUUUAAACCAUUUUCCUUCAUCCUGUCACUAUCUGCUCUUAUUAAAAGUCCCUCUGCAGCUCUCCUGUAGGCCUCCUUCAGGUA